AGUUUGAUCCUGGCUCAGGAUGAACGCUGGCGGCGUGCUUAAUACAUGCAAGUCGAACGAAGAUAUUUCGCCGAAGUUUACUUCAUUGAGAUAUCUUAGUGGCGGACGGGUGAGUAACGCGUGGGUAACCUGCCUUACACAGGGGGGAUAACAGUUAGAAAUGACUGCUAAUACCGCAUAAGCGCACAUUAUCGCAUGAUAGAGUGUGAAAAGAUUUAUCGGUGUAAGAUGGACCCGCGUCUGAUUAGCUAGUUGGUGAGGUAACGGCCCACCAAGGCGACGAUCAGUAGCCGGCCUGAGAGGGUGAACGGCCACAUUGGGACUGAGACGCGGCCCAAACUCCUACGGGAGGCAGCAGUAGGGAAUAUUGGACAAUGGGGGAAACCCUGAUCCCAGCGACGCCGCGUGAGUGAAGAAGUAUUUCGGUACGUAAAGCUCUAUCAGCAGGGAAGAAAAUGACGGUACCUGACUAAGAAGCACCGGCUAAAUACGUGCCAGCCGCCGC
rnacentral:rRNA from 1 species